rnacentral:Y_RNA from 1 species
GGCUGGUCUGAAGGUAGUGAGUUAUUUCAAUUGAUUGUUCACAGUUACAGAUAGCACUUUUGUUCUACUCCUUCCCCAUUCUCACUACUGCACUUGGCUAGUUUUUA